rnacentral:rRNA from 1 species
CCUACGGGUGGCAGCAGUGAGGAAUAUUGGUCAAUGGGCGCGAGCCUGAACCAGCCAAGUAGCGUGAAGGAUGACGGCCCUCCGGGUUGUAAACUUCUUUUAUAAAGGAAUAAAGUGAGGCACGUGUGCCUUUUUGUAUGUACUUUAUGAAUAAGGAUCGGCUAACUCCGUGCCGGCCGCCGCGGUAAUACGGAGGGUCAGAGCGUUGUCCGGAUUUAUUGGGUUUAAAGGGAGCGUAGAUGGGUUGUUAAGUCAGUUGUGAAAGGUUGCGGCUCAACCGUAAAAGUGCAAUUGAUACUGGCAGCAUUGAGUACAGUUGAGGUAGGUGGAAUUCGUGGUGUAGCGGUGAAAUGCGUAGAGAUCACGAAGAACACCGAUUGCGAAGGCAGCCUACUAAACUGCCACUGACACUGAUGCGCGAAAGUGUGGGUAGCAAACAGGAUUAGAUACCCGGGUAGUC